CCUACGGGAGGCAGCAGUGGGGAAUAUUGCACAAUGGGGGAAACCCUGAUGCAGCGACGCCGCGUGAGUGAAGAAGUAUCUCGGUACGUAAAGCUCUAUCAGCAGGGAAGAAAAUGACGGUACCUGACUAAGAAGCCCCGGCUAACUACGUGCCAGCAGCCGCGGUAAUACGUAGGGGGCAAGCGUUACCCGGAUUGACUGGGUGUAAAGGGUGCGUAGAAGGCAGCACAAGUCUGGAGUGAAAUGCAGGGGCUUAACCCCGGAACUGCUUUGGAAACUGUGCGGCUGGAGUGCAGGAGGGGUAAGCGGAAUUCCUAGUGUAGCGGUGAAAUGCGUAGAUAUUAGGAGGAACACCAGUGGCGAAGGCGGCUUACUGGACUGUAACUGACGUUGAGGCUCGAAAGCGUGGGGAGCAAACAGGAUUAGAUACCCGUGUAGUC
rnacentral:rRNA from 1 species